rnacentral:rRNA from 1 species
UACGUAGGUGGCAAGCGUUGUCCGGAUUUACCGGGUGUAAAGGGCGCGUAGGCGGGAGAGCAAGUCAGAUGUGAAAUGUGGGGGCUUAACCCUCAAGCUGCAUUUGAAACUGUUCUUCUUGAGUAUCGGAGAGGCAGGCGGAAUUCCUAGUGUAGCGGUGAAAUGCGUAGAUAUUAGGAGGAACACCAGUGGCGAAGGCGGCCUGCUGGACGACAACUGACGCUGAGGCGCGAAAGCGUGGGGAGCAAACAGGAUUAGAUACCCUGGUAGUCCACACUGUAAACGAUGAAUACUAGGUGUGGGGGGACUAACCCCCUCCGUGCCGGAGUUAACACAAUAAGUAUUCCACCUGGGGAGUACGGCCGCAAGGUUGAA